AUUUAUGUGGGUUGUGGCCUAAAGUUUUUUUUUUAAAAAUAAUUUUCCGCUAAAACCAAACGCUCCAAAGCAUCUCUAUUUUCAAUUUAUUUUCCCCAAAUGUUAGCGCCCUUUUAAUUUCAAUUACAUCUAGGUUAGGUUUUCUGUUUUUCAUUAUUCCGCUGAACUGAACUCUUUCUUUUAGGGCAUUCAUUACUUUGGCUACAUCUGUUGUGUUCUUCCUAAAAUCUGGAACUAAGAGCAUGAGUAAACCAACAAUCGUGCCAAUAUCGUUUGUUCACACCACAAGCUAUUGGAAGUUGAUUUUUUGGGGGCUACUAUUAGAUUAGAAUUCAUGGUCAUACUGAUACAUAUAUGAGAUUUUUUUGUUACAUGCUCUUAAGUAAACCCAUACUUUUUAGGAGUAUUUAAUUUUUGAAAAUGGGUAAAUUAUCAGUGCAUCAAAUCAUGUAUUGACGUUUGUAAAUGUAUAUGAUUUAUUAAUUUAUAUAUUAUAACUGAGAUGUUUUCAAAGAA